rnacentral:rRNA from 1 species
CGUGGUUGAUACAUGCAAGUCGAACGGGAAAGCUCGCUUCGGGGAGCGAGUACAGUGGCGGACGGGUGAGUAACACGUGGUCAACGUACCCCCGAGACCGGUAUAGCGGCCCGAGAGGGUGGAUAAUCCCGGAUAAUGCUGCGACGUCGCCUGGCGUUGCAGCCAAAGGUUUACUCCGCUCGGGGAGCGGAUCGCGGCCUAUCAGCUUGUUGGUGAGGUAACGGCUCACCAAGGCGACGACGGGUAGCCGGCCUGAGAGGGUGAACGGCCACACUGGGACUGAGACACGGCCCAGACUCCUACGGGAGGCAGCAGUGCUGAAUCAUUCACAAUGGGCGCAAGCCUGAUGAUGCGACGCCGCGUGGAGGAUGAAGGCUUUCGGGUUGUAAACUCCUGUCAGGGAUUAGGAAUUUUGACCAAUCCCAGAGGAAGCACCGGCUAAAUUCGUGCCAGCAGCCGCGGUAACACGAAUGGUGCAAGCGUUGUUCGGAAUCACUGGGCAUAAAGAGUGCGUAGGCGGCGCGGUAAGUCAACUGUGAAAGCCCCCGGCUCAACCGGGGAAUUGCAGCUGAUACUGCCGUGCUUGAGGGUGCGAGGGGUUGAGCGGAAUUCCAGGUGUAGCGCUGAAAUGCGUCGAUAUCUGGGAGAACGCCCGAGGCCGAACGCGGCUCACCUGGCGCAUACCUGACGCUGAGGCACGAAAGCGUGGCGAGCAAACAGGAUUAGAUACCCUGGUAGUCCACGCAGUAAACGAUGGGUACUAGUUGGAGGGGAACACCGAUUCACUUUCCGCCGUAGCUAACGCGCUAAGUACCCCGCCUGGGGAGUAUGGUCGCAAGGCUAAAACUCAAAGGAAUUGACGGGGGCUCACACAAGCGGUGGAGGAUGUUGUUCAAUUCGAAGCAACGCGAAGAACCUUACCUGGGCUUGACAUGCUGGUGGUACAACCCCGAAAGGGUGCGGACCCGGGUAAAACCGGGAGCCAGCACAGGUGCUGCAUGGCUGUCGUCAGCUCGUGUCGUGAGAUGUCGGGUUAAGUCCCUUGACGAGCGAAACCCUUGUCGCCAGUUGCUACCGGGUUAUGCCGGGCACUCUGACGAGACUGCCGGUGUCAAACCGGAGGAAGGUGGGGACGACGUCAAGUCAUCAUGGUCCUUACGUCCAGGGCUACAAACGUCCUACAAUGGCCGGUACAAAGAGAAGCAAUGCCGCGAGGCGGAGCCAAUCUCCAAAGCCGGCCCUAGUUCAGAUUGGAGGCUGCAAUUCGCCUCCAUGAAGGUGGAAUCGCUAGUAACCGGAGAUCAGCAAUGCUUCGGUGAAUAUGUUCCUGAGCCUUGUACACACCGCCCGUCAAGCCACCCAAGUUGGGAGCA